AAAUGGGGUUUUAAAGAUUUAAAGUCGUUUUUAAAGGAUAGGCAAUGUUCGAUAAGUAUUUACAAGGGAUUUUAAAAAG
rnacentral:sRNA from 1 species